rnacentral:rRNA from 1 species
GACGAACGCUGGCGGCGUGCCUAAUACAUGCAAGUCGAGCGGAUUGAUGGGAGCUUGCUCCCUGAUAUCAGCGGCGGACGGGUGAGUAACACGUGGGCAACCUGCCUAUAAGACUGGGAUAACUUCGGGAAACCGGAGCUAAUACCGGAUAAUCCCUUUCCUCUCAUGAGGAAAGGCUGAAAGAUGGUUUACGCUAUCACUUUUAGAUGGGCCCGCGGCGCAUUAGCUAGUUGGUGAGGUAACGGCUCACCAAGGCAACGAUGCGUAGCCGACCUGAGAGGGUGAUCGGCCACACUGGGACUGAGACACGGCCCAGACUCCUACGGGAGGCAGCAGUAGGGAAUCUUCCGCAAUGGACGAAAGUCUGACGGAGCAACGCCGCGUGAGUGAUGAAGGUUUUCGGAUCGUAAAACUCUGUUGUUAGGGAAGAACAAGUACGAGAGUAACUGCUCGUACCUUGACGGUACCUAACCAGAAAGCCACGGCUAACUACGUGCCAGCAGCCGCAGUAA